rnacentral:rRNA from 1 species
UACAGAGGUCUCGAGCGUUAGGCGGAAUCACUGGGCUUAAAGCGUGUGUAGGCGGAUUGCUAAGUACCUUGUGAAAUCCCACGGCUUAACCGUGGAACUGCUUGGUAUACUGGCUGUCUUGAGCCACUUAGGGGCAACCGGAACAAACGGUGGAGCGGUGAAAUGCGUAGAUAUCGGGAGGAACACCGGUGGCGAAGGCGGUUCUCUGGGCCUUACCUGACGCUGAGGAGCGAAAGCGUGGGGAGCGAACAGG